CCUCUCCUUCGUUUCCCAUCUCCACAGAUAAGGCGCAGAGAGGACCACGAGUCGCCAUGGUCGUCCACCUUGCCGGAGUUGGUGACGCCAUGCCUGGCUGCGAGGAGACGGCGUCGGACAGCCUGGACCUCCCCGGAAGCGGUGCGCGACGCGGAGGCGAGGAAUAAAACUUAGGGAUGUGGGGGUGUGUGCUCGCCGGCGCCGGAGAAGAAAGAGUCGGGGUCGGCGUUUAGAGGGAUGGUCGCUGGUCGGCCGGGAGGUGGCGGUCCGGCGGAGAAAGCGGCUAGGGCAGGGUGGGGCGGCAAGGCGGCGCGAUAGCGCAGCUGGCCGCGGGCGACACUGACAGGCGAUUUGGCCGGUGGUUGGUGGCCGAUUCCGGUGGUGCUCCUCUCCGGCGAAGCAGUUGUUCUUCCCCUCAUCUCCGGCUGCUUCCGACUGGAAAAGAACAACGGGCGUUGGGUCGAUCUUCCCCUCCUUCCUCUGUUCUUAUGCCUUUUGGACAACUACUGUAGCACCGGGGCUCCUUGCUUCGCCUGCUACUAUUCCUGCGGUGGAGCCGACUCAGCACCUUGGUCUAAAAGUGCAUACUCCCUCAUUGAGACUAUUUGGUGCUACAAUCAAGUCACGUCUGGCUCUAAUUUUGGACUUUGGAAGCAGAACGGUGCAGACUGGAGUUCUUUUUUGAGAAUAACUUGGACAGCAUGCCUUGCUAUUGUUGGCAAUGCGGAUAUUGAUGAUUCCUGUAUAUAGUACAUACAAAGCUGGAUUACAGAUUAAGGCUUACAUGUGGUGCGAGUCUAUUCAAGAGUAAUGCAUCUCUCCCUUUUAUUAUCUGCAAGGUAGCUGCAGUUUUUUGACAGAAUAAUUGGUUAGGCUGAUCAAUUUGAAUUUAUUUCUGGUAGAUUAACCUCUGCACCAGAAGAUGACCUCUGCAUUUUGUUGUCGGUUCUAAAUAAGUUGCCGGUUUUAUUUACAAUGCAGUAUCCAUUAACGCCCAAUCCACAUUUGUAGAUGAUUGGGUACACAAUACUACACCUUGUACAGUUUUCUGAGGCAAACUAGAAAUUUCUAGGGCUAUCAUUUAUGGGUAACCAAUCCGAAUUCUAAAUGAAUAAACAUUACCAUUGUGGGGGUAUUGUUAUAGUUCCUAAAUACAGAGUCUACACAUAUGCUUUAGAAGCUGGGCUCACUAACUUGCUUUAUCCUACAGUCCUAUGUGACGAACCAUUGAAUUUCUGCAAUAUUGCAUUACAAUUUUCUGUUUUGAGCUCCCACACAUUCCUGUGAAAGUAAAAUAUGGAUAAUUCUUACCUAACAUUAUGCUCUAGCUUCAAAAGCAUUUAUAACUUCUUUUUUUUACAGAAUGGAGUGUAUAUAUUAUUGAAAUAACAAGUCUUUUUUUUAUAGAACUUAUCAUUAUAGGAACCGCUGCUCCACAUACAUAUUUGUUCAGAGCCAGAACCUGGCUUCUGAUCGUGUUUUUGGGUACUAGCAUGCAACCAUAAACGUAACAGAAAUCAUCAAUGAAAAUUUAUUUAAUUCAACGUUAUUGACUUUUCAUAAAAAAUAUAUAAAUCUAACUAGAACAAAAUAAAGUAUCCUAUGGAGGUUUAACAAGUACAAAGAAACAUGAAUACAUGUUAGACAAGAGUAUUGUUGCAUUCUAUGCGGUAAAAAUCUUUUUUGUUGACAACUAAAAUAAAAAUCUUAUGUGACAGCAAGGAGAAAAGGAGCAGGGAUUAUGCGGAUAUUCUACUAUUAAAAAAUCACAUGCCUGAUAGAUGCUUGUGUUCGUUUUGAUUUCAUCAUUAAGCUAUUGUUAAUUGCCAUGGAUGGUUCAACUGAAUUAUUGGUUGUCCCAAAAAAACAUAACUAAUUAGUUUAUGCAUCUAAUAUUUGAUUGAGGUGCUACCUGACAUGGUUGUCCGAAGGAAGAGAUGGACACAACAUGAACACUGUCGAUAGCCAAUUUGAGGUAUACUGGCGGCGGUGGGAGAUAUGGUGAAGGCGGAGGGGCGAAGGCUGGAGAGGACCAUGAUUUGGACCUUUGCAGCGGCGCUUUCUGGGAUCGGCCCAGGCUUUGAAAUAUGCAUGUGGUGUUACCCGCAAGUGGAGCUUCCUAUCUCCAUCACUCGCGGUGAGCACUAUGGACGGUUUUCUCUACCCCAUUCUUGAUAUUUGUGAGUUUUGUCUUUUCCUCAAUUCCUUUCAAAGAUUUCUAUGAUAUACUUUGCAAGGUUUGGAGAUACAGUUGUGGUGAGUUACGUUAUAUUUUCUACUGUAUCUAACUCAAUAAAGAUCAUCUUUAUUGACUUUCUCAAUUUAGCUGUUGUGGGAAUAGAAUCUUGAGCAUCCUUUGGUUGAUUGUGAUAAAUAAUGUAGAAUGCAGUUGACCCUUUAUCAUUAUGAAUAUGGAACGGUUAGACAUGCGGGAGUGGUAAAAUCAGUACAAUAUGUGGGACUGGGAUAUUAUUUGUACUGUUCUCAAUUGACUCUAUUCCUUACUCUUUAACACGUGCAUAAUGAAAUGAUUUUUGGGUAUGGACACAGCUACGGUGACAGACAUCUUUAUAAGAAAAGCAAGACUGCUAAUUGUUGUAGUCUUUGCAUUAUCAUUCUUCUCAGGAAGAUGCUGAGAAAAACCUAAGUUACAAUUAUUGAGCGGGUAACAUGUAUGAGAAGUAUUGCAACUAACGAUCUUAUUUAUGAAAUUUCGGAGGCAGCGAAGGCGCAACUGCAACUUAUCAUUGUUGCAACUGCCAGUAUGUGCAUUUUUCUGUCGUCAUCUCAUCAAUGCCAACCUUGCAGUGCCUUUGGGUUUCAAAUUUAUGGUAGUUACUGAUACGUAAGCACUUUCAAUCUCUAUUGUUUUGUGUGGAUGUGAAUGUAGUGUGAUAGUAUGUUUCUGCAUCUACUGUGUUUUUCGAAUAUCGAAGGUAGUUUAAUUCAUACAAGCUCUGCAAUGGAAUCAAUGUCAUCUCAUACUUUCUAAUAGAGCUACUCUUUUUUGGAAGCAAAUUAUCCACAAGAAAUAUCUCGGUUAUUUUGGGUAAAAUUAUUAGAAGUUCAUAAAAGGGCUUAUAUUUAGUGGUGUUAAUGUUGUUGUUGUUUCUUUAUGGGCAUUCUAUAAAUUAUGUUCAUCUUAAAAUUCUUUGUUGUUUCUACUCCUUUAAAUUAUUUUCCGAUAUUUGAAGUAUGAAUCACAGCCUGAUCUCUCAAUGGAUUACAACAAAUAUCAUGUGAUAUAUAAUGUGACAUUGUCAAUGUACAUUUAGCCAUUUACCAUAUAAUAAAUGGUUUAACGGUAUCACAGACUCUAAUCUAAAAGAGUAAAAUCGUGAUCUUCGCAAACAACUAAUAUGAAAAGCAAUUUCCACGAGGUUAUUCUAUUUGCUUUGUGGAUAAUACGAAUGAAAUUAUCACCAUGCCACCUCCUUUUGAUUUCUUUUCAAACCAUAUUUUGUAUACUUCUAAACAAUAAGCCAGUGGGCCUGGGUGCCUUCUUAGGGCAUCUGCCCUGGCCGUGUUGCUGCCUUGUGGGUCAUCUCUAUGGCUCACUGGCCCUGUCUCAGCCUCCACCUCUAGACGAAGCGAAGCCCUAAAUCCUCCCUCUAUUGUCCUUGUUUUGAGCCGCCUCCCCUCGUGCCCAUUCCACCCCCAGAAGCUGCUCCAUCUCCACCCCUCCACCACAUAUGACAUAUACUACGAGUAUGUCACAGUAGAGGAUGUGUUGCUGCUGCCGCUCCUUCAUGAUGCACUAAAAAGUGCUAAAUUAGUCGCUAUCGUGUCUUAGUUCAGCUGCGAAUUCAAAAUUCAUGUUGCAUAUAUUUUAGUUUGAGUGGUAGAAUAAAAAGUUGAUCCUCGCAUUCUUAUCCGGGAUACAAAUUGGAGCUCUUUAUUGAUGCCUAUUGUAUGUAUCCUCUGUUUUUACUAUGAUUCUAGACUUAUAUCUUACAUUGUGCUAUUUGCCAAUAGUUGACAGGGCUAUAGACCACAGGCAACUGAAGAUAAAUAUAAGCUAAAUAUGCUGCUAAGAAGCUUGAAUUUUAACGGAGAGGUUUGGCCUGCAUCAGCUUCCUAGCCCUACACAUCCACUGCUUAAUUUUGGCAGUACAAAUUCUGCAGUUGGUCUGUCUGUACUCAUCUGAAGUUGAGCUGGCCUCCAGGAUCUCCAUGAUAGAUUACACUGUACUUAUUUCUGUUUUACGUCUCCAAACCUCAUCUGCAACGUGCCCAUUUGUUUUCUUAGUCAAUAUUCAUGAGAAAAUGGCAUUGCCUAAUUUAUAUUGAUUCACAAGUUGGAAAUGUAUUCAUGCAGUCCAUCCCAACUUAUUACUUUCUUUUUUCUUUUGGCAGGCUGUAGAUUCUGAACCAUUCGAGUCUUGACCCUUUACGCGAAAGAAAAUUGAUGAUGAUUUGGUAACAUGAAGCCAGCAAGCUGUAGCAUAUAAUUAUAAUGCAGUGGAGUGAAAAAGGGAGCCAGAGAAAUGCGACCUAACUUCAUAGUUGUCAUUCUCUUAGUUUAGUUUGAGUGGAAGUACUCCCUCCCACGUCGUAAACCUCCGAUAUGUUUCGUGGGAUGGAGUAUAAAAAGUUGACUGUAAGAUUGCUAAACAAUGACUCGAUAGAAUGCUAAUGGGGGAUCCUCCUCGGGUCUUUACCACAGAUAGAUAAAACAAGCUCUUUAUUGA